UGUGUAACCAUGACAAUUGGUGGAAGUACUGCUAUCUCUUCUGAACUUGAGGAUGGGGAUUCAUUGAGUAGCUACAUAUAUGAAAUUUUGAUGAAGGGCAUUGAGAUUCUUGUCAUCAGUGCUUGUGAGGACCUUGAUUGAUCUGAUGAUAUGCUGUGGCAGUACCUUAGAAAUAGAAGCCUCCGAGAGCUUCGAUUGGUAAAUAUGAACAAACUGGCGUCCCUCCCCAUGGGACUUCAACAUGUUCCCACUCU
rnacentral:misc_RNA from 1 species